GUCUUUAUUUGAUAUAUUUAUGCAUAUUAUUUAGUUGUAUUUUUUAAUUUUUAAUUAUAUCUUUAAGUAUCUAUUUAUUCCAUGAAUUUUGCAAAUUUUUUAAAAACAUUUGUAUAGUGAUAGGCCAUUAUUGUUACGUUAAGGCCAUUACCAACCUAUUUCCAUUACCCGUGACCGCAAUUUUGAAAGCAGCCGUGACUGCAAUUAAACUAUGAUAGGAAUCCUAAUAAAAUAGGAAGAAACCUAAGUCCUAAUUAAAAUAUGAAUAAACAAAUCCUACCUAGAAUAGAAAAGUAACUAAGUCGAGAAUAGAAUAGAAAACUUAAACCUAAAUUAGAGUAGAAAAAUUAAAAACUAAAUCUACAACUUUUUCCUUGUCCCAAAGCAAUGCUCUGCAUCAGCAUCAUUGGAUGUUCGUAAACAAAGGGGAACUUCCACUUGUUUUUCUCCUAGCCUAUGGUACCUGAUUGUGAGCUCUAACCUUACAAGCUCAAUGAGGUAGCUAGCAACCUUUGUUAAAAAGAAAAGAAUUAUGAUCUGAAAAUUUUCCAUGCCCUUCUUAUUUAGAUUGCAGGUAUAAAUAUAUAUGCUAGAAGGCAAAAUUAGAAACUACAGUUGAUCUGGAAAUGGCUUAAUCUACUCUUAUAAUUCUGGGAUUGAUAAGAAUAAAUUAAUGGUAAAUUCUUGUAAUUACGAAACCCAUUAUACUGCAUAAUAUCCUUCUUGAUCUCGCUUGUUUCCUGUUCUGAACUUCUGAUGAGCUUACAUGGUUUUCCUACUUUAUUCAGUCGGACAUGUGACCUUCUUUCACUUGGUCCUUCAACUUCUUUCCACUAGGACAUGUGACCCCCUUCCACUCAGUUG
rnacentral:misc_RNA from 1 species